rnacentral:rRNA from 1 species
UUGUCUUGUAAAUUGGAAUGAUGGGAAUUUAAACCUCUUCCAGAGUAUCAAUUGGAGGGCAAGUCUGGUGCCAGCAGCCGCGGUAAUUCCAGCUCCAAUAGCGUAUAUUAAAAUUGUUGCAGUUAAAAAGCUCGUAGUUGAAUUUCUGCUGCAUCGUCGCAUCUCUUGCUGAGUGCUUCGUUUCGGCUUAUUUCGGAUUGAUUUUUUCUUUCCGGAUGAUUACUUUGAGAAAAUUAGAGUGCUCAAAGCAGGCUUUUGCCUUGAAUAGUUUAGCAUGGAAUAAUAAAGUAGGACUUUGGUUCUAUUUUGUUGGUUUUAGGUACCAAAGUAAUGGUUAAUAGGAACAGUUGGGGGCAUUCGUAUUUAACUGUCAGAGGUGAAAUUCUUAGAUUUGUUAAAGACGAACUACUGCGAAAGCAUUUGCCAAGGAUGUUUUCAUUAAUCAAGAACGAAAGUUAGGGGAUCGAAGACGAUCMGAUACCGUCGUAGUCCUACCCAUAAACUAAAACA